UUAGUUGAAGCCAAAAAGAGGCUAAUCACUGUUGAUGAUUUUACUGAUAAAUAUCCGACUGUC
rnacentral:tRNA from 1 species